GACGAACGCUGGCGGCGUGCUUAACACAUGCAAGUCGAGCGGUAAGGCCCUUUCGGGGGUACACGAGCGGCGAACGGGUGAGUAACACGUGGGUGACCUGCCCUCAGCUCUGGGAUAAGCCUGGGAAACCGGGUCUAAUACCGGAUAUGACUCCAUGACGCAUGUUGUGGGGUGGAAAGCCUUGUGCGGCUGAGGAUGGGCCCGCGGCCUAUCAGCUUGUUGGUGGGGUGAUGGCCUACCAAGGCGACGACGGGUAGCCGGCCUGAGAGGGCGACCGGCCACACUGGGACUGAGACACGGCCCAGACUCCUACGGGAGGCAGCAGUAGGGAAUAUUGGACAAUGGGCGCAAGCCUGAUCCAGCCAUGCCGCGUGAGUGAUGAAGGCCUUAGGG
rnacentral:rRNA from 1 species